rnacentral:rRNA from 1 species
UGGGGAAUCUUGCGCAAUGGGCGAAAGCCUGACGCAGCAACGCCGCGUGGGGGAAGAAGGCUUUCGGGUUGUAAACCUCUUUCAGGGGGGACGAAGCCACCGGGGUUAAUAGCCCACGGGGUGACGGUACCCCCAGAAGAAGCCCCGGCUAACUACGUGCCAGCAGCCGCGGUAAUACGUAGGGGGCAAGCGUUGUCCGGAAUCAUUGGGCGUAAAGCGCGUGUAGGUGGCUUGGUAAGUCCGGUGUGAAACCUUGGGGCUCAACCCCAAGCCUGCAUCGGAUACUGCCUCGCUCGAGUUCGGGAGGGGAGAGCGGAAUUCCUAGUGUAGCGGUGAAAUGCGCAGAUAUUAGGAAGAACACCGGUGGCGAAGGCGGCUCUCUGGAACGAUACUGACACUGAGACGCGAAAGCGUGGGUAGCGAACAGGAUUAGAUACCCCCGUAGUCCCUGAGCGGGCUGGCAAGGCGCAU